GCCGGGCGUGGUGGCUCAUGCCUGUAAUCCCAGCACUUUGGGAGGCCGAGGUGGGGGGAUCACCUGAGGUCAGGAGUUUGAGACCAGCCUGACCAACAUGGAGAAACCCCAUCUCUA
ensembl:misc_RNA Metazoa_SRP Metazoan signal recognition particle RNA